GACGAACGCUGGCGGCGUGCUUAACACAUGCAAGUCGAGCGGUAAGGCCCUUUCGGGGGUACACGAGCGGCGAACGGGUGAGUAACACGUGGGUGACCUGCCCUCAGCUCUGGGAUAAGCCUGGGAAACUGGGUCUAAUACCGGAUAUGACUCCAUGACGCAUGUUGUGGGGUGGAAAGCCUUGUGCGGCUGAGGAUGGGCCCGCGGCCUAUCAGCUUGUUGGUGGGGUGANGGCCUACCAAGGCGACGACGGGUAGCCGGCCUGAGAGGGCGACCGGCCACACUUGGACUGAGACACGGCCCAGACUCCUACGGGAGGCAGCAGUGGGGAAUCUUGCGCAAUGGGCGAAAGCCUGACGCAGCGACGCCGCGUGAGGGAUGACGGCCUGG
rnacentral:rRNA from 1 species